rnacentral:lncRNA from 1 species
CAAAAGAUUAAUUAGCACCCGCCGUGAAAUGAAGUGGUGUGUGAAGAUGACAUGUUGCUUCUCUGAGACCUUAGCUUGUUAUGAAGGUCACCACCCAGAAGGCAGAAAAAGAAAGAACUCGGGGAACCAUGCAGAAGAGGAUUAUCAUGAGAUUCACAGCGGGCCAUGGACUUCUGCUUACUGAUGUAAAACUCAGUCCCUCCACCCCACUAAACUACAAGGAAGCCUGGGCGAUAUGGUCUCCACGCAUUCUCUACGAAAAAGGUCAGCAGUGACGGGUCUGUCAGUGGGUGAUCACUGAGCCUUCUCGGAAGACUCCUAGUUAGACCUAAAGACGCUAGCACGAAACCUCAUUCCAGAGAUAAGAAGAGAGGAAAGGGAGGGUUUGGGGACCUCUCUCAGCUGUCUUUUACUUCAGUGGAAAUACAACAGUCCUAAAUUCACCAAUCGACCGUGUCGCACCUUGACUGGCCAGAAACUAAGCUUGUUUCUUAGCAUGGGUUUGAAAGGUUGACAUAAACUCCAUUUGUCUCCGCUUAAAGACCAAACCUGAUUACCAAAAGAAGACGUAAGGCACCAGCUCCAGGAACAGACCGUAAAAUCCACAGUAAGCUCAUAAAACCCCCUCCCAAAGAGUAGCCUGGGGAUAAC